GCACCCGUAGCUCAAUUGGAUAGAGCAUCUGACUUCGGAUCAGAGGGUUGGGGGUUCGAGUCCCUCCGGGUGUGCAA
rnacentral:tRNA from 2 species